rnacentral:rRNA from 1 species
GACGAACGUUGGCGGCGUGCUUAAUACAUGCAAGUCAACUGAAGCAGUGGUAGCAAUAUCGCUGUGGAGGUGGCGCACGGGUGAGUAACACGUAGGUAAUCUGCCUUCAGGUCUGGCAUAACUCCGGGAAACCGGGGCUAAUAGCAGAUGAUGCAGCGGCUCGACAUCGAGACAGUUGUUAAAGCUAUGGCGCCUGAAGAUGAGCCUGCGUCUGAUUAGCUAGUUGGCGGGGUAACGGCCCACCAAGGCAACGAUCAGUAGCUGGUCUGAGAGGAUGAUCAGCCACACUGGAACUGAGACACGGUCCAGACUCCUACGGGAGGCAGCAGUAAGGAAUAUUGCUCAAUGGGAGAAAUCCUGAAGCAGCAACGCCGCGUGAGGGACGAAGGGCUUUUGCUUGUAAACCUCUGUAGUGAGAGAAAAAAAUCCCAAUCUUUGGGACAUGAUGGUAUCUCAAAAGUAAGCCCCGGCUAACUACAUG